UGGGGAAUUUUGGACAAUGGGGGAAACCCUGAUCCUGCCAUCCCGCGUGUGCGAUGAAGGCCUUCGGGUUGUAAAGCACUUUUGGCAGGAAAGAAACGUCAUGGGUUAAUACCCCGUGAAACUGACGGUACCUGCAGAAUAAGCACCGGCUAGCUACGUGCCAGCAGCCGCGGUAAUACGUAGGGUGCAAGCGUUAAUCGGAAUUACUGGGCGUAAAGCGUGCGCAGGCGGUUCGGAAAGAAAGAUGUGAAAUCCCAGAGCUCAACUUUGGAACUGCAUUUUUAACUACCGGGCUAGAGUGUGUCAGAGGGAGGUGGAAUUCCGCGUGUAGCAGUGAAAUGCGUAGAUAUGCGGAGGAACACCGAUGGCGAAGGCAGCCUCCUGGGAUAACACUGACGCUCAUGCACGAAAGCGUGGGGAGCAAACAGG
rnacentral:rRNA from 1 species